UACGUAGGGUGCGAGCGUUAAUCGGAAUUACUGGGCGUAAAGGGUGCGCAGGCGGCCGCGCAAGUCGAGUGUGAAAGCCCCGAGCUUAACUUGGGAACUGCGCUCGAAACUACGUGGCUGGAGUGUGGCAGAGGAAGGUGGAAUUCCAGGUGUAGCGGUGAAAUGCGUAGAGAUCUGGAGGAACACCGAUGGCGAAGGCAGCCUUCUGGGCCAACACUGACGCUCAGGCACGAAAGCGUGGGGAGCAAACAGG
rnacentral:rRNA from 1 species